UUAUCCAACACUUGGUACCCAAUGUGGAUUACUAUCCUGAUGUAGGUAUUGCUGUUCCUCAAAUACUCAUCAACUGUAUGGAUUAGAAACUGCAGCAGGCUAUGCAGGGACACAGCCUUUGCUGUGCAGUUAUCUAGGUUGCUAAGAAUUUUUUCGAAGAAGAAAAUACAUAGUGAUUAUUGAAAGCUCUAAGACCAGGGGCUGGAUGAGCUUAUGGUAGAGUCUCCCUGUCUGUUUCUUUUCGGUUGUCCACCUCAUUUUCGGCGGCCUAAAUGGAGCGUUGCCCGUAGACUUACUGUGUGCCUACAUCUUGCUCCAUAAAUAAAAAUGCCAUCAGGGAGAGGAUUGGCUGCUCCUAGAAUAUGACAUGAUUGUAGCUAGGGAAAAUCCACAGAAAGAGAUGUUACACCCAGAUGUGAUGAUUUAUAGAUUGGCCAUCAGGUGCUGUUGGCUUGGCUUCCCUUGAUAGCUUAUAAGGCACUUCCUAAGCUAGGAAAUUCACUGAGUCAUAUCUCAGUCUUUGUUCCAAGAGGCAGGAGGGGAGACAGAGGUCAAAGGUCAACACCACAUGUUUAUUCCUUGGUUUCCUGUCUGGGCCACGCGAGUUCCCCUUCCCUGCUGUGUCUGAAUUUAGAAGGACACAGAGGUUGAGUUUUCUAGGCAGCUGUUAUUGAUAGCGAGUCCAUGGAAAAUACCUGGAGACCACAUUUAUUAGUUUUCAUAAAUACAAUAAUAACCUUGUUGCACAAAGCAGAGUGUGUGCCUGCCAAUGGUAAUUCACCAUAAUGUCCCUUACUGAGCUAUCUCUGUGUGAUUCAUUGCAUAGCGUUCUCAAAUAUGCCCGCACCCAGGGAACUAUGUUAUCAAAAGUAAAAAGAAUCCUGUGUUCAGUCCUGUAAGUGUUUAUGAAGCACUAAAGGUGCCUGAGGAGGGGUGGGGGCAAGCAAACAGUCCGUGGAAUUCCUCUUUCCACGGGGAGCCUGGAACUGUAGAACAAAUAAGUGCCGCUUCACCACCAGCUCCUCAGGAGACAGUGUGGUUAAAGCAAAGUAGUGUUGCAUUGCCCUUCAUCCGCCUGCUUAGUCUGGAGCGAGCCACUUAGGACGGUUGCAAGUCAGCCUUUGAAUGUUGUGAUGCAAAUACUGGGUAUUCUACGCUGAACACUCCGGAGAGUUCUUGACUGAAUGGGAAUAGGGUGGUCGGUUGUUUGUUUGUUUAUUGGUUACGGGAGAUGAUAUCUGGACACACAACCUUAUUCCACGUGGGCAACAUAUUUAAGGCAGUUCUGCCUCUCUGGGCUGAAUUUCAGUAUUCUUGAUUACAACAGGAAAAGGAAUAUGUCCUGCCUCCCGAUGACCCAUAAGGAAAUGUCCUCUGGAUUAGUCCAGGCAUUGAAUUUAUCUCGUUUUUAGUGUAUGUUAAGGGAAAGGAUCUGAGGCUGCUUAUUGGCAGAUGUUUAGCCCGACCUGCAGCCUGCUAACUUCGAUGUAGAAGAAGGUUGUAAUAUGCAGGGAUGGAGUUCAGAGAGACUGUAACGGUGACGACUCAUUUUUUUCUCUCUCUCUUGCUGCAGAGGACAUACAUCUUCACCUUCCUGCUUAGUUCUCGGUUAUUCAUGCAUCCGUACGAGCUCAUGGCUAAGGUUUGCCACCUGUGUGUUGAGCACCAGCGACUGAGUGAAGGGGACGGCGAUAAGGUAAGGCGACAUUUGAAUGGUUGUUUUCAUUAGGCUGGCUAGCUCUGGCUUAGGUUUUGUGAUCUCUCCAUAUGUGACCCCCCGCUCAGCCCCAGGCUGACGGGGCCUAAAUGGCACCAUGACCGUGCAUAUGGAAUUGGGAAGGGUGUGAAGAUCAUGGCGUAGGGCUCAGAAAGUGGUUCAGUGAUAGCCUGCUUAUCUCCUGCUUCUAGGACCGUGGGUUAUAUUCCCGGGACUGC
rnacentral:lncRNA from 1 species